UACGUAGGGGGCAAGCGUUGUCCGGAAUUAUUGGGCGUAAAGGGCACGCAGGCGGUGGUUUAAGUUUGGUGUUUAAUCCCAGGGCUCAACCCUGGUACGCACUGAAAACUGGAUCACUUGAGUGCAGAAGAGGAGAGUGGAAUUCCACGUGUAGCGGUGAAAUGCGUAGAGAUGCGGAGGAACACCGAUGGCGAAGGCAGCCCCCUGGGCUAACACUGACGCUCAGGCACGAAAGCGUGGGGAGCAAACAGG
rnacentral:rRNA from 1 species